rnacentral:tRNA from 1 species
CAAGAGGUAGUUUAAAUUAAGAAUCCUAGUUUUGGGGACUAGGGGUGGGUUUUGGCCUUCUCUUGAGA